UGAAAAUUCCGAUGGUUAGAGAUGGGCAUGCGUUGUAUUAGCUAGUUGGUGGGGUAACGGCUCACCAAGGCGACGAUACAUAGGGGGACUGAGAGGUUAACCCCCCACACUGGUACUGAGACACGGACCAGGGUCCUACGGGAGGCAGCAGUGAGGAAUAUUGGUCAAUGGACGCAAGUCUGAACCACCCAUGCCGCGUGCAGGAUGACGGCUCUAUGAGUUGUAAACUGCUUUUGUACGAGGGUAAACGCAGAUACGUGUAUCUGUCUGAAAGUAUCGUACGAAUAAGGAUCGGCUAACUCCGUGCCAGCAGCCGCGGUAAUACGGAGGAUUCAAGCGCUAUCCGGAUUUAUUGGGUUUAAAGGGUGCGUAGGCGGUCUGAUAAGUUAGAGGUGAAAUUUCGGGGCUCAACCCUGAACGUGCCUCUAAUACUGUUGAGCUAGAGAGUAGUUGCGGUAGGCGGAAUGUAUGGUGUAGCGGUGAAAUGCUUAGAGAUCAUACAGAACACCGAUUGCGAAGGCAGCUUACCAAACUAUAUCUGACGUUGAGGCACGAAAGCGUGGGGAGCAAACAGGAUUAGAUACCCUGGUAGUCCACGCAGUAAACGAAGAUAACUCGUUGUCGGCGAUACACAGUCGGUGAC
rnacentral:rRNA from 1 species